rnacentral:rRNA from 1 species
GGGCCCUGUGGAUUAUAUUUUGAAUGGAUUUUUUUGUUUUGGCAAGAGCAUGAGAGCUUUUACUGGGCAAGAAGACAAGAGAUGGAGAGUCCAGCCGGGCCUGCGCUUAAGUGCGCGGUCUUGCUAGGCUUGUAAGUUUCUUUCUUGCUAUUCCAAACGGUGAGAGAUUUCUGUGCUUUUGUUAUAGGACAAUUAAAACCGUUUCAAUACAACACACUGUGGAGUUUUCAUAUCUUUGCAACUUUUUCUUUGGGCAUUCGAGCAAUCGGGGCCCAGAGGUAACAAACACAAACAAUUUUAUUUAUUCAUUAAAUUUUUGUCAAAAACAAGAAUUUUCGUAACUGGAAAUUUUAAAAUAUUAAAAACUUUCAACAACGGAUCUCUUGGUUCUCGCAUCGAUGAAGAACGCAGCGAAAUGCGAUACGUAAUGUGAAUUGCAGAAUUCCGUGAAUCAUCGAAUCUUUGAACGCACAUUGCGCCCCUUGGUAUUCCAGGGGGCAUGCCUGUUUGAGCGUCAUUUCCUUCUCAAACAUUCUGUUUGGUAGUGAGUGAUACUCUUUGGAGUUAACUUGAAAUUGCUGGCCUUUUCAUUGGAUGUUUUUUUUCCAAAGAGAGGUUUCUCUGCGUGCUUGAGGUAUAAUGCAAGUACGGUCGUUUUAGGUUUUACCAACUGCGGCUAAUCUUUUUUAUACUGAGCGUAUUGGAACGUUAUCGAUAAGAAGAGAGCGUCUAGGCGAACAAUGUUCUUAAAGUUUGACCUCAAAUCAGGUAGGAGUACCCGCUGAACUUAAGCAUAUCAAUAAGCCGGAGGGAA